rnacentral:lncRNA from 1 species
UCUUUCUUUCCCACAUUUUUACAAUAGUUUGUACAGCUCCAACAAGAAUUAGGAGUGAAAAAAAAAAUUCAAAUCUUGGGCUAGUUCAACCAUCUUGGACUUUAAAUUAUCUAAUAUGCAUAAUAAAGAUAGCUAAACAACACCGCAACAAAUUAACUGAAUCGUAGAAGAAUAGUUCAUAACUUCACAAACACUUCGAAAUCCCUUCCAACCCCAAAUGUUUGAUGCCAACACGUCACGUUCAUUCCAGUCCCAAACGCUGCCAUGCAGACAAUGGUUUUUGUGUAGCACUUUGAAAUUCCUUUAGAGAGUCCUAACAAUGUCAGCAUUGAUAUU